ensembl:misc_RNA Y_RNA Y RNA
GGCUGGUCUGAGGGCAGUGGUAUUUACAACUGUUGACCACAAUCAGUUACAGAUUUCUUUGUUCUUGCUCCACACCUGCUGCUUCAUUUGAUUAGUCUUUU